UGCGCCCUGGGCGGCCGCCCACAUUGCCCAUAGCUAGGACCGGCCCUGAUUGUAUCCAAGGUUCUCAAUCUGGCUCGAGGGAAAUCUCCACUGUCUAAACUCUACCUGGAAGCAAGACAAGAGUCUCACGGAGGAUCUACAAGAUAUUGACUUCAGAGCAGCCCUCAUCUUUCUGCCAUACAUCUUCAAGGAGAACAUUGAUUGCUUUAUUACUCUUGGAGAGAGUGAUCCUGCCACUCCAUACCAACUAUCCAGUUGAUGGAUCGAGACUGGAAAAUGGCCUUUACCAGGAGAGCUCCGAAUGCUGUGAAAGUGGAUGGCAUCGAGUUGUGUCACAGCUCAGCAAUUGACGAAGGAAUCAUCUCUGCUUUCUGUGCUUACUUUGUGUUCAAUUUAACAUUUCCACGACACCUGAAGAACACACUGAUGUUUCUCCAAAGGCACAUCACCAAAAUAGUUGUGGAUGGUGAGAAGCCUCUGCCAAUAACUGUCACCAGGCAAGUAAACCUCCUCUAUUGACUCAACCAUGCCUCAUCUAUACCAAUGCUCCAAAUGCUCAAGGAGAACAUUCACCUUUAUGAAACUAAUUCAGCACAUAGGACUUAUUCCUGCCCAUGAAGCUAAAUUCUCUAUUACAUGCAGACUUAAUGACUGCAAGUCAACAUUUACAAAAUAUGAGUCUUUUAGACGACAUGUGUAUAGGAGACACAGAGACAGAGUUUUAUGUCAAUGCAAUGACUGUGAUGGAGAUGAAGAUGUGGUGGCCUCUGAGGAUUCUGAUGAGCCUGGGAUGGAUUCUGUCACUGAAAAUCCUCCCUCUAUGGAUGAACUGUUACUCCAUUUCAGAGAAUCACAACAUUUGUAAUGUAGAUUUUACAGACAAAGCUAUCCAACGUGUUUCUGAAGUUAGAGUCAACAAUGUCAAGUAUGCUGUCAAAGAUGUAUUUGUCAUAGAUGUAUUGCAUUCAGAGAGAAUUCCACUGUUUUGGCGACUCAAGUACAUUUUGAACAUCGAUACCUUGUGGAUCCUUUGUGGUAAAAUGUUGGUUCUUCUGUCAUAUGACUGUCACUUUCAUGCAUACAGUGUAAAGGUUGAUGGAGAAUGGACUUUACUAAAACCAGGCGAUGAAAUGGACUUCCAAGUACUUGACACUUAUUCUGUGGAUAACAGUUUGUAUGUCACACUUCGACAUAGUAUUUAAAGAUGUACAAAAUUAACAUGCGAAAAUGUUAGAUCUUCUGUCAGUGAGUGUCAAGUGUUAUUUUCAUGUAUGCAGUUUUAAGGUUGGUGGAGAAUGGACUUGCCUGCAAUGGACAAUUUUACAUUGUUUAAAGUUAAAUGGAAUUGAAAUAUGAAAAUAAAAAAUACAUUCUGAUAAAUUUAAAAAUCAUUUGUGUUUUGUAUAAUGUAGAUACACAAAAAAAUCAGAAAUAAAUAAUGGUACUAUAAUGUACCCUAUAAAGGCCAAUUUUGUACCCUUUUUAAAGGUCCAUUUUUGUACUUCAAAAUAAGGGUACAAAAUUGCCACCAGAGGUACAAGAUUGGUCUUUGUAAGGUACAAACCACAAGGGUACAAAUAAGUACUCAGUGUCAAGGGUACAAAACUGUGCCU